rnacentral:rRNA from 1 species
UCGCGGUAUGGGAUGGGGUCGCGUCCUAUCAGCUUGACGGCGGGGUAACGGCCCACCGUGGCUUCGACGGGUAGCCGGCCUGAGAGGGCGACCGGCCACAUUGGGACUGAGAUACGGCCCAGACUCCUACGGGAGGCAGCAGUGGGGAAUAUUGCACAAUGGGCGCAAGCCUGAUGCAGCGACGCCGCGUGAGGGAUGGAGGCCUUCGGGUUGUAAACCUCUUUUAUCGGGGAGCAAGCGAGAGUGAGUUUACCCGUUGAAUAAGCACCGGCUAACUACGUGCCAGCAGCCGCGGUAAUACGUAGGGUGCAAGCGUUAUCCGGAAUUAUUGGGCGUAAAGGGCUCGUAGGCGGUUCGUCGCGUCCGGUGUGAAAGUCCAUCGCUUAACGGUGGAUCCGCGCCGGGUACGGGCG